rnacentral:rRNA from 1 species
UACAGAGGGUGCGAGCGUUGUCCGGAAUCACUGGGCGUAAAGGGCGCGUAGGCGGCUCGGUAAGCGUGCGGUGAAAGCCCGGGGCUCAACCCCCGGGUCGGCCGUGCGAACUGCGGAGCUGGAGCACUGUAGAGGCAGGUGGAAUUCCGGGUGUAGCGGUGGAAUGCGUAGAGAUCCGGAAGAACACCGGUGGCGAAGGCGGCCUGCUGGGCAGUUGCUGACGCUGAGGGCGCGACAGCGUGGGGAGGCAAACAGG